rnacentral:lncRNA from 1 species
GGUGUAGUCAUGGCUCGACUGAUAGUUUUAAUUCCGCAUUUGUUUCGGUUAGCCGGCAAAAUAAGUUUUAGAAAGGACUAUUCAUCCCCCCCCUCUAGUCUACCAUCUCGACCCUUCAUGGGUGGUACACAUUAUGUAAGCAUGGUGUUUAGAUAUUGCUUAUCUAUGAAUGCACUCUGUAUGCCGGGACGUGUGGUAGAUCGUAGAUGUGAUAGACCUAUUGAGGCCUCUAUAGUCCUCCCCCAUGUAGCCUA